rnacentral:rRNA from 1 species
GACGAACGCUGGCGGCGUGCUUAACACAUGCAAGUCGAACGGAAAGGCCCUUCGGGGGACUCGAGUGGCGAACGGGUGAGCAAGAGGGGGGUGAGCGGCCCUGCACCUUGGGAUAAGCCGGGGAAACUGGGUCUAAGACCGAAAAGGACGACGCGCUUCAUGACGGGAGGGGGAAAGCUUUUGCGGCGUGGGAUGGGCCCGCGGCCUAUCAGCUUGUUGGGGGGGUAAUGGCCGACGAAGGGGACGCCGGGUAGCCGGCCGGGGAGGGUGACCGGCCACACUGGGCCUGAGGUACGGCCCAGACUCCUACGGGCGGCAGCGGUGGGAAAUAUUGCGCAAUGGGCGCAAGCCUGAUGCAGCGACGCCGCGUGGGGAAUGACGGCCUUCGGGUUGUAAACCUCUUUCUAUGGAGACGAAGCGCAAGUGACGGUACCUAAAGAGAAAGCCCCGGCCAACUACGUG